rnacentral:rRNA from 1 species
UCCGUAGGUGGCGAUCGUUGUCCGGAAUUACUGGGUGUAAAGGGCGUGCAGGCGGGACUGCAAGUCAGAUGUGAAAUUCCCAGGCUUAACCUGGGCGCUGCAUCUGAAACUGUAGUUCUUGAGUGUCGGAGAGGAAAGCGGAAUUCCUAGUGUAGCGGUGAAGUGCGUAGAUAUUAGGAGGAACACCAGUGGCGAAGGCGGCUUUCUGGACGAUAACUGACGCUGAGGCGCGAAAGCGUGGGGAGCAAACAGG